CCUUGUACACACCGCCCGUCACACCAUGGGAGUUGGCUUUACCGAAGGCAUUUCGCUAACCGCAAGGGGCAGAUGACCACGGUAGGGUCAGCGACUGGGGUG
rnacentral:rRNA from 1 species